rnacentral:rRNA from 1 species
CCUACGGGGAGCAGCAGUGAGGAAUAUUGGUCAAUGGACGAGAGUCUGAACCAGCCAAGUAGCGUGAAGGAUGACUGCCCUAUGGGUUGUAAACUUCUUUUAUAUGGGAAUAAAAUGUUCCACGUGUGGGAUUUUGUAUGUACCAUAUGAAUAAGGAUCGGCUAACUCCGUGCCAGCAGCCGCGGUAAUACGGAGGAUCCGAGCGUUAUCCGGAUUUAUUGGGUUUAAAGGGAGCGUAGGUGGAUUGUUAAGUCAGUUGUGAAAGUUUGCGGCUCAACCGUAAAAUUGCAGUUGAAACUGGCAGUCUUGAGUACAGUAGAGGUGGGCGGAAUUCGUUGUGUAGCGGUGAAAUGCUUAGAUAGCACGAAGAACUCCGAUUGCGAAGGCAGUUCACUGGACUGCAACUGACACUGAGGCUCGAAAGUGUGGGUAUCAAACAGGAUUAGAUACCCUGGUAGUC